rnacentral:rRNA from 1 species
GAUGAACGCUGGCGGCGUGCCUAAUACAUGCAAGUCGAGCGAACGGACGAGAAGCUUGCUUUUCUGAUGUUAGCGGCGGACGGGUGAGUAACACGUGGAUAACCUACCUAUAAGACUGGGAUAACUUCGGGAAACCGGAGCUAAUACCGGAUAAUAUUUUGAACCGCAUGGUUCAAAAGUGAAAGACGGUCUUGCUGUCACUUAUAGAUGGAUCCGCGCUGCAUUAGCUAGUUGGUAAGGUAACGGCUUACCAAGGCAACGAUGCAUAGCCGCCCUGAGAGGGUGAUCGGCCACACUGGAACUGAGACACGGUCCAGACUCCUACGGGAGGCAGCAGUAGGGAAUCUUACGCAAUGGGCGAAAGCCUGACGGAGCAACGCCGCGUGAGUGAUGAAGGUCUUCGGAUCGUAAAACUCUGUUAUUAGGGAAGAACAUAUGUGUAAGUAACUGUGCACAUCUUGACGGUACCUAAUCAGAAAGCCACGGCUAACUACGUG